rnacentral:sRNA from 2 species
AGCUGAUGCACAUGGCGGUCUUCCUCCCAGUUCCGCCGCAGCAGCUGUUCCCCUCUGGAGGUUUUAACCUUCACAACUUUAUGGGCCGCGGCUUUCCGCUGGCCCUUUUUU